AUUGAACGCUGGCGGCAGGCUUAACACAUGCAAGUCGAGCGGAGAUGAGGUGCUUGCACCUUAUCUUAGCGGCGGACGGGUGAGUAAUGCUUAGGAAUCUGCCUAUUAGUGGGGGACAACAUUCCGAAAGGAAUGCUAAUACCGCAUACGUCCUACGGGAGAAAGCAGGGGAUCUUCGGACCCUGCGCUAAUAGAUGAGCCUAAGUCGGAUUAGCUAGUUGGUGGGGUAAAGGCCUACCAAGGCGACGAUCUGUAGCGGGUCUGAGAGGAUGAUCCGCCACACUGGGACUGGAACACGGCCCAGACUCCUACGGGAGGCAGCAGUGGGGAAUAUUGGACAAUGGGGGGAACCCUGAUCCAGCCAUGCCGCGUGUGUGAAGAAGGCCUUAUGGUUGUAAAGCACUUUAAGCGAGGAGGAGGCUACUGAGACUAAUACUCUUGGAUAGUGGACGUUACUCGCAGAAUAAGCACCGGCUAACACUGUGCCAGCCGCCGCCGUAAUAC
rnacentral:rRNA from 1 species